CAAGUGGUGGCUGACGCAUAUGCAGACAGUGAAGAAACCCUCUCAGAAGACUGUCCUUUGGAGGAAGAACCUGGUGACAUCCGUUCCCUCUAUAAACGGCUUCCUCAACAAAAAAUUGAGUAUUUUGAGCUGAAAAAACGCAAAUUAAGAGGAGAAAUUGAACUUGACAACUUGAAAAAGAGAAAAAUUGCUCUAGAGAAAGAGUUGCUUCAAAAGGACCUUCAGAGUAAGUGCUAAUACACCAUUUGACACAUAGUUAUGUAAAGUCACCAAUACUACUAUUUCUAAUUGCAGGCAAAAGAUGACAUGCUGGCUUUUCUUUAAAGAAUUGUUUAAAUAAA